rnacentral:misc_RNA from 1 species
AACGCAAGUUGCGCCCCAAGCCGUUAGGCCGAGGGCACGUCUGCCUGGGUGUCACGCAUCGUUGCCCCCCACCAAAACACGCUAACGCGCUUGUCCUUGGCGGGGGGCGCACGUUGGCCUCCCGUGCGUUGCCGCGCGCGGUUGGCCCAAAUUCGAGUUCUCGGAGACGAGUCCCGCGACUAUCGGUGGUGUUCCAAAGAGAGCCUCGAGUUCCAGUCGCGCGGUCUGGUCUCCUUCGUGGGACUCUCUGACCCUGAGAGGGCGCCGUUUCGAGCGGCGCUCGCAUCGCGACCCCAGGUCAGGCGGGAUUACCCGCUGAGUUUAA